CAGCUCUCUGCUAUGGCCUGGGAAAGCAGUAGAAGAUGGCCCAAGUCCUUGGGCCCCUGCACCCGCGUGGGAGACCAGGAAGAAGCUCCUGGCUCCUGGCUUCAGAUCGGCGCAGCUCUGGCUGUUGCGGCCAUUUGCUGAGGAUUACUCCGUGCCAUAUAUACACCACACUUUCUUUAUCCAGUCAUCAGUUGAUGGACAUCUGGUUUGAUUCCAUAUGUUAGCUGUUGUGAAUUGAGCUGCAAUAAACAUGGGGAUACAGAUAA